UUACCAGCAGCAAGUAGAAGAAAGCAAAGGUUCUGCAACAGCAACAAGAACAUUAUUCCCUUCGUUAACUGAGUUGGAAGGCGUAUGAUCUCGAAAAGUCCCUCCCAUAUGUUCGAUACUACUGCCGGACCGGUGAUGACGAUCACUCCAAUAAUUCGAUGGAGGAGAAUAAGAUUUUCAAUUUGGAGUUGCUAAAUUAAAGAUACAUGAUAUUUCUGAGUUCUGAUCAUAGAAAACGGCACUGUAAUUCAUUUUCGAAAGAGAAAUAGAGGAAUGACGACUAUUCGAGAGGUGCGCUAGCUGCAGUGAUCUUCUUGAUAUAACCCAUAUGACGAUGGUUAUAGUACUGAAAGAAUUUCUUCUUUUCUUGAAUAUUUUUUUAAGUUAAUUAUGUUAUUGUUAUUGUGGAUCGGAACUCUGGGAGAUUAUAUGUCCAUCAUGACGAUGUUCCCUGAGUACUGUCUUGUUUAAGUAUCUCCUGGCAAUCGAAUUGCUAGUUCCGGUAAAAGUGUCGAUAGGCAUCGCGGGAUAAAUGAGUUGCGUUUCCGCGACACAGACAUCAUUCAGAUGUCACUCAAGGCAAUUGAGGAGAGAUCUUAGAAGAAUCGUCGUACGGUAUUUUAUGUGGAAGUAAAUAUGAUCUCCGAAAACCAAAAAUUCGUCGAAUUGCAGAAACAAAUGGGGUAUACUUGCCAUAAGGAGCAUUUUGAUAUCAUUGAGGGAGAGAUGGUAAACAAGACAAGUAUGGCUCCUUCCAUAACCUGAAAAUCAAAUUAGACAAUGUUCGCCAGCUAUGGUUUCAUAAAUAUGAAACUACUGUAUGUUUCUUUUGUCAUACAGUACU